rnacentral:rRNA from 1 species
CAGUCGCCACGGUAAUACGUAGGUGGCAAGCGUUGUCCGGAAUUAUUGGGCGUAAAGGGCUCGCAGGCGGUUUCUUAAGUCUGAUGUGAAAGCCCCCGGCUCAACCGGGGAGGGUCAUUGGAAACUGGGAGACUUGAGUGCAGAAGAGGAGAGUGGAAUUCCACGUGUAGCGGUGAAAUGCGUAGAGAUGUGGAGGAACACCAGUGGCGAAGGCGACUCUCUGGUCUGUAACUGACGCUGAGGAGCGAAAGCGUGGGGAGCGAACAGGAUUAGAUACCCCGGUAGUCCCUGUCUCUUAUAC